GUGGCAAAAGGCAUUCCUGUGCAAAGACUCAAGAGAAAUGACACUGCUUUCAGGCUGGGGUUGGCUCCCUUUUUACAAGGCUGAAUUCACCCAAGAAAACCCUGGAGAGGGAAGCGUCAGGAAACAACUGCACAGACUGCAACAUGAGUAACGGGGAAACUCUAGAGAGCCAGCGAACAUGUAGUGACAAGACCGGUAUGCAUUGGAGAUGCUCUCAAAGCCAUAAAGGAGGGGGAAAGACUCGCUGCUUUUCCCAAAGUAACUUCCAAUACAUUGAGAGACAAUACUAACAUCAAUGGAUUCCACAAACCACCCAGCCAUAGGACUAUUCCAUCUGAUAUCUGUAUCAGAUAGAUAAAUAAA